rnacentral:rRNA from 2 species
GAGACGCUGGCGGCGUGCCUAAUACAUGCAAGUCGAACGAACUCUGGUAUUGAUUGGUGCUUGCAUCAUGAUUUACAUUUGAGUGAGUGGCGAACUGGUGAGUAACACGUGGGAAACCUGCCCAGAAGCGGGGGAUAACACCUGGAAACAGAUGCUAAUACCGCAUAACAACUUGGACCGCAUGGUCCGAGUUUGAAAGAUGGCUUCGGCUAUCACUUUUGGAUGGUCCCGCGGCGUAUUAGCUAGAUGGUGGGGUAACGGCUCACCAUGGCAAUGAUACGUAGCCGACCUGAGAGGGUAAUCGGCCACAUUGGGACUGAGACACGGCCCAAACUCCUACGGGAGGCAGCAGUAGGGAAUCUUCCACAAUGGACGAAAGUCUGAUGGAGCAACGCCGCGUGAGUGAAGAAGGGUUUCGGCUCGUAAAACUCUGUUGUUAAAGAAGAACAUAUCUGAGAGUAACUGUUCAGGUAUUGACGGUAUUUAACCAGAAAGCCACGGCUAACUACGUGCCAGCAGCCGCGGUAAUACGUAGGUGGCAAGCGUUGUCCGGAUUUAUUGGGCGUAAAGCGAGCGCAGGCGGUUUUUUAAGUCUGAUGUGAAAGCCUUCGGCUCAACCGAAGAAGUGCAUCGGAAACUGGGAAACUUGAGUGCAGAAGAGGACAGUGGAACUCCAUGUGUAGCGGUGAAAUGCGUAGAUAUAUGGAAGAACACCAGUGGCGAAGGCGGCUGUCUGGUCUGUAACUGACGCUGAGGCUCGAAAGUAUGGGUAGCAAACAGGAUUAGAUACCCUGGUAGUCCAUACCGUAAACGAUGAAUGCUAAGUGUUGGAGGGUUUCCGCCCUUCAGUGCUGCAGCUAACGCAUUAAGCAUUCCGCCUGGGGAGUACGGCCGCAAGGCUGAAACUCAAAGGAAUUUGACGGGGGCCCGCACAAGCGGUGGAGCAUGUGGUUUAAUUCGAAGCUACGCGAAGAACCUUACCAGGUCUUGACAUACUAUGCAAAUCUAAGAGAUUAGACGUUCCCUUCGGGGACAUGGAUACAGGUGGUGCAUGGUUGUCGUCAGCUCGUGUCGUGAGAUGUUGGGUUAAGUCCCGCAACGAGCGCAACCCUUAUUAUCAGUUGCCAGCAUUAAGUUGGGCACUCUGGUGAGACUGCCGGUGACAAACCGGAGGAAGGUGGGGAUGACGUCAAAUCAUCAUGCCCCUUAUGACCUGGGCUACACACGUGCUACAAUGGAUGGUACAACGAGUUGCGAACUCGCGAGAGUAAGCUAAUCUCUUAAAGCCAUUCUCAGUUCGGAUUGUAGGCUGCAACUCGCCUACAUGAAGUCGGAAUCGCUAGUAAUCGCGGAUCAGCAUGCCGCGGUGAAUACGUUCCCGGGCCUUGUACACACCGCCCGUCACACCAUGAGAGUUUGUAACACCCAAAGUCGGUGGGGUAACCUUUUAGGAACCAGCCGCCUAAGGUGGACAGAUGAUUAGGGG